ensembl:lncRNA
GUUGAUGUUCGUCACCUUGGUUCUCUCAGAGGAAGAUGUUCCAUUGUUUUCUCCUUCAUUAUUCCUGAUGUGUUCUCUGUCUCCGGCACAUUUACAUUUUCCUCAGUGUAAACAGAGAGUGUUUGAAUUGGGUGUUUGAAUUAAUUGGACCAUCACAGAGUGUAAUUAAUCAGCUGGAGUGAAGCCGUGUCGUCGACUCCUAUGCAGCCUGUCUCUCCCUCACAGGUUUUGUGUGCACUGGAUUCGCUCCGUCUGUCAGCGGAGGGAUGGAAUGAAAGGAGAACAUUUGGAGAGAUAGCAGAGCGGAAGAAUAGAGAGAAAUUAAUUAUGCUGGGAAUGAAGGGUGACAGUGCCAGUUUUUGAAAGUGUUUAAUUGAACCCUUUUACACAUUUAACUAAGCCAACACAAGCACAUGACACUCGUCUGCCAGAGAGAGAGAGAGAGAGAGAGAGGGGCAAUGCACUAAAAGCUUGAGCCACUGUGACACGUGGUGUUUACGCAUACAAACUUGCAUCUUGUUCACUAAUCACCCGCAAUCCAUGUACUUAAACAGCACUUCAUCUCAAUGAAUUUAAAUUUGAAUUCUUUAUUAGAUUAUUACUGAUGCACAGUUAAACUCCCUUAAGUGCAGAUGUAUUGAAAAUAUUUGUGUGUGUGUGUGUGUGUGUCAGGUAGUGAUGCCACCGUUCUCCGUGUGUUUGGCUCUCAUCUUCUCACUGAUUGUUCCCCGUUUGUUGAAUAUCCCAAUCUGGAGCUUCGGCCCUGGAUGUGUGGAGCUUCACAGAAAACCUUCUAUAGUUUUGAUGAUCCUGGUUUCACCAGAAUUUGGGAUGCGCUGCAUGAGCACCAACCCCAUACCAGAACUCAAAACACCACAGACACCCUACACAACCUCACGGCCCGAAAUAUGACCGACUUUCUGCUCAAGAGCUACCAGAUAUCAGGAAAAAUACGGGUGACGACUUCUACGGAUGUGGUGGUGUUGAUCUGCGUGUUCUUGCCAUGUCCUUCAUCCCGACCAGCUUCAUCCUCUUCCUCAUCCAGGAGCGCGUCAGUUCGUGAGCGUCAACCCCACCCUCUACUGGCUGGCCAGCUUCGCCUGAGACAUGGUACACCAGAAGCCCUUCUGCUCCGGAAGACGGAUGGGAUGGGGACAGGCACGCGAGAGCUAAAAAGAGGAGCUGAGAUAGCUAAUUAAAACUCUAUUAAAACUCUAUCAAUUUCCCGCUGAAUCCUGUUCUCUGCCUCCAUUGGUCCUGACAGCGAGACUCUCUUGUCAUGAGCUACAGUCUCAGCGGAGAGAGAUGAUUUCACCUUCCCUAAUAAAUCACUAAUAAAUCAAUUAGUGUCA